rnacentral:rRNA from 1 species
UACAGGGGGGGCAAGCGUUGUUCGGAAUUACUGGGCGUAAAGGGCUCGUAGGUGGCCAACUAAGUCGGACGUGAAAUCCCUCAGCUUAACUGGGGAACUGCGUCUGAUACUGGAUGGCUUGAGAUUGGGAGAGGGAUGCGGAAUUCCAGGUGUAGCGGUGAAAUGCGUAGAUAUCUGGAGGAACACCGGUGGCGAAGGCGGCAUCCUGGACCAACACUGACACUGAGGAGCGAAAGCCAGGGGAGCAAACGGG